GCACUCUCUUUGGCAGCACAUAUACUAAAAUUGGAACAAUACAGAGAAGAUUAUCAUGGCCCCUUUAAAAAAAAUUAAUAAUAGACACCAAAGUAGUUUUU
rnacentral:snRNA from 1 species